GAUGAAGAACGCAGCGAAAUGCGAUAAGUAAUGCGAAUUGCAGAAUUUUAGUGAGUCAUCGAAUCUUUGAACGCACAUUGCGCCUCUCGGUAUUCCGGGAGGCACGCCUGUUCGAGCGCCAUUACACACCCCAAGCUCGGCUUGAUGUUGGACGCUGUCUGUGAAAGGACAGGUCUGGAACGCGUGGGCGCCGCCGCCGGACCACGAGCGUAGCAAGACGCAAGUCAAAUCGCUCUGUGGGCUUACUCGGUGGACGGCCGUCUAGAUGCUGGGGUAACGCCUGCGUCGAAAACACCUAACCAAAGUUUGGCCUCGGAUCAGGCGGGGAUACCCGCUGAACUUAAGCAUAUCAAUAAGCGGAGGA
rnacentral:misc_RNA from 1 species